AUUGAACGCUGGCGGCAGGCCUAACACAUGCAAGUCGAGCGGAUGAAGGGUGCUUGCUCCUGGAUUCAGCGGCGGACGGGUGAGUAAUGCCUAUGAAUCUGCCUGGUAGUGGGUGAUAACGUCCGGAAACGGGCGCUAAUACCGCAUACUUCCUGAUGGAGAAAGUGGGGGAUCUUCGGACCUCACGCUAUCAUAUGAGCCUAGGUCGGAUUAGCUAGUUGGUGGGGUAAAGGCCUACCAAGGCGACGAUCCGUAACUGGUCUGAGAGGAUGAUCAGUCACACGGGAACUGAGACACGGUCCAGACGACUACGGGAGGCAGCAGUGGGGAAUAUUGGACAAUGGGCGAAAGCCUGAUCCAGCCAUGCCGCGUGUGUGAAGAAGGUCUUCGGAUUGUAAAGCACUUUAAGGUGGGAGGAAGGGCAGUAAGUUAAUACCUUGCUGUUUUGACGUUACCAACAGAAUAAGCACCGGCUAACUUCGUG
rnacentral:rRNA from 1 species